UUGAAUGAUGAAAUGCACUGGGCUCCGACAAUCUCUGAUGGAUACGCAUUUGCCUAGAAAGCAUUGUCUGACUU
rnacentral:snoRNA from 1 species